rnacentral:lncRNA from 1 species
GGUGAAUUCCCUUAUUAAGCAAAAUUAUCUAGGUGAACUAGCCUUAGGUGCCUUAUCCUUGAGCCUAAGUAGGGAAAGGGAAAGAGAGGGAGAAACAAGGGCAGCGGGAGAGGGGUGUGAGCUGUGUGGUGUGUGAGGAGGAGAGGGGUGUGAGCUGUGUGGUGUGUGAGGAGAGGGGUGUGAACUGUGUGGUGUGUGAGGAGAGGGGUGUGAGCUGUGUGGUGUGUGAGGAGAGGGGUGUGAGCUGUGUGGUGUGUGAGGAGGAGAGGGGUGUGAGCUGUCUGGUGUGUGAGGAGGAGAGGGGUGUGGGCUGUGUGGUGUGAGAGGGGUGGGGUGUGAGCUGUGUGGUGUGUGAGCAGGAGAGGGGUGUGAGCUGUGUGGUGUGUGAGGAGGAGAGGGGUGUGAGCUGUGUGGUGUGUGAGGAGGAGAGGGGUGUGAGCUGUCUGGUGUGUGAGGAGAGGGGUGUGGGCUGUGUGGUGUGUGAGGAGAGGGGUGUGAGCUGUGUGGUGUGUGAGGAGGAGAGGGGUGUGGGCUGUGUGGUGUGUGAGCAGGAGAGGGGUGUGAGCUGUGUGGUGUGUGAGGAGGGGUGUGGGCUGUGUGGUGUGUGAGGAGGACAGGGGUGUGGGCUGUGUGGUGUGUGAGGAGAGGGAUGUGAGCUGUGUGGUGUGUGAGGAGAGGGGUGUGAGCUGUGUGGUGUGUGAGGAGAGGGGUGUGGGCUCUGUGGUGUGAGGAGGAGAGGGGUGUGAGCUGUGUGGUGUGAGGAGGAGAGGGGUGUGAGCUGUGUGGUGUGUGAGGAGAGGGGUGUGAGCUGUGUGGUGUGAGGAGAGGGGUGUGGGCUGUGUGGUGUGUGAGGAGGACAGGGGUGUGAGCUGUGUGGUGUGUGAGCAGGAGAGGUGCAUGAGCUGUAUGGUGUGUGUGGCCCAGGCUGCUUGAGGACAAUCAGGUUCCACGUAAUAAUUCUGCCACUAAGUGGUUC